rnacentral:lncRNA from 1 species
GACACACAGAGACACACGGACACACUCAGAGAGAGACACACACUCAGACACACAGAUCCGCCGUGUGAGUUUAGGACUGGAGCUCAUCUUCGGCGAGUCACUGUGGAGAUCCUCUCGCGUCGCUGCCCUGUGGAGCUGGAGCUGACGGAGACGGAGUGCCGAACCGAGAGAGGGGAGAGGAGAGAGAGAGGCAAGGCGAGAAACGAGAGAGAGAGAGAGAGAGGACGUGAGGAGAGAUUUGAAAGCAGACCCGUGUUAUUGGUGAGAGCGCUGGAGAGAGGAGGGGGGGGUGGAGAAUCCAGUACCCCAAUAACAGCGUUUCUCCGGUCUGCUGCCGAGCCGGAGACAGAGGCACAAACUCCGGAUUCAUCCGCACGUCCUCUGCCUGCGGGACAGCCGCGUCUCGUCGCGUCGCAUCGCCGGGAGCAGGUGGCCGGAGCUCCGGGCUCGGCGGCGGGACCAGGAGCCGCGUCGCUCCCCGGCCGCUCCACAUCCCCUGAGCAGAGAGACGGACCGGGGGAGAGAGGGAGGGAGGGCGACAGGAGGACAGGAGGAGGAGAUGGACAUUGAUUUCACCCUAGCAGAGCCCCGCGCGCCGCCAGCCCUCCUGGACGAGCAGGAAUCAGCAGCAGGGAGAUGACCGGCCACGCCGCCAUGAUCCGCAGCUCUGUGCUCUGCUGGCUGGGGCUGCUGCUGGCGGGGGGGGUGGGCGGGGCUUCGCUCCCGGCCGGUGUGCCGAGGAGGCGUGGCCUAGGAACGGGCUCACCCAUCGCGCGCGGCCCAGCGGAACUGACGGUCCGCACCCCGCCGCCUCCGGAGGGCGGACCGGGCCCAGAUGAGUCCGGAACCCCGGAGCCCGACGCCCCGCUGGGGAUGGGGGCGGCACGCGAUCCGGAGCGC